rnacentral:rRNA from 1 species
GAUGAACGCUGGCGGCGUGCCUAAUACAUGCAAGUCGAGCGAACAGACGAGGAGCUUGCUCCUCUGACGUUAGCGGCGGACGGGUGAGUAACACGUGGAUAACCUGCCUAUAAGACUGGGAUAACUUCGGGAAACCGGAGCUAAUACCGGAUAAUAUAUUUAAACACAUGGUUCAAUAGUGAAAGACGCUUUUGCUUUCACUUAUAGAGAUAUCCGCUCCUCAUUAGCUAGUGGGUAAGGUAACGGCUUACCAAGGCGACGAUGCGUAGCCGACCUGAGAGGGUGACCGGCCACACUGGAACUGAGACACGGUCAAGACUCUUCCGGGAGGAAGCAGUAGGGAACCUUCGGAAAAGGGCGAAAGCCUGACGGAGCAAGGCGGCGGGAUUGAUGAAGGUCUUCGGAUCGUAAAACUCUGUUAUUAGGGAAGAACAAAUGUGUAAGUAAAUAUGCACGUAUUGACGGUACCUAAUCAGAAAGCCACGGCUAACUACGUG